rnacentral:tRNA from 1 species
GGGUGGUUAGUUCAGCGGUAGAACGUCUGCCUUACACGCAGAAAGUCACAGGUUCGAAUCCUGUAUCACCCACCA